GACCCACCUCCUUAUGUUCCCCAGGUACCAAGACAGCACCAGCCAGCUUGUCCUUGGAAACGCAGAAUAGACCCACCUCCUUAUGUCCUCCAGGCAGCAAGAGUUCAGAAACUCGUCCACCAGCAAAACGAGUCUGGGCAACCGAUGAUUUCCACACGGCAUCAAAUUCUCCACCUAAAAAGCCUUUCCACAACACAAAUGAAGAACUACUGACAGAGGAGCUACAGAGCAACGCAGUUCAGCACUUCUGGCGUGUCAGUGCAACUCAUUGUCAAAGUGAUGAAAGGUACACAGAAUUCUCUCGAAAUCAUCAGUGCACAUGCAAUGCCCUCACAUUCCUGGCCUACCUUAAUGAGGAACACCAGUUCAACACAGCCCGACUUGAUAAGGUGCUUGAACAGGGAGAUGCACUCUACUGUUGGAUUAAAACAAAUCUUCAGCAGGAGAGGCGUUAUACACAAAAUCAUCUGACCAUAGAGGAACUGCCCAAAAAAGUUCAUGCUGACAUAAAUGUCUACAGUGUGAAAAUGGACGACAUAAGGUAUGGAUACCUGAAAGCAGCAGACAAAACUUAUCAAAGAAAAGAGUGGUGGUUGCCUCUUGCUAGUCGCCUUGUAUGUCUGUCAACAGAUGUGAGCUAUGCUUUGCUCAUGGUCUCACCUCAGUGCAUUGCAGUUUUCCGUGACAAAUCUGGGAGGUAUGGAUUAUUUGAUUCACAUUCAAGAAGUGCAGCAGGUUUACCCCAGCCAAAUGGAACAGCAGUCAUGCUCACUUUCACUCAUGUGAAUGACCUGAUCACCCACCUGCAUAACCUUUUUCAAAAUCAAGGCAGGUAUGCAAGAUAUGAGUUUGUGCCUGUUUCUUUCAAAAGAGUCAGCACUCACAACGAACAGCCUGCACAGUCAACUCAAGCAACACCAGGAGCAACAGCUACAUCACCACAAAAUGAUGAACCACAAAUCACAAAUCCCACUGUGCAAGUGCCUCAACCAGAAUCAGCCCAAACCUACAUGACAAUGUUAGAAAGUGCUUUAAACCCGCAACAAGACAAAAUGGCUUCAAAUCAAAUUUGUGGACAUCAACUUGAAACAUCUGUUGAUCCAACAAGCAACAUCCAAACAGAACAACAAGAAAAUCUUGAACUCAAUAAUGAAAGAGAUAAAGUCAUAGA